rnacentral:rRNA from 1 species
GAUGAACGCUAGCUACAGGCUUAACACAUGCAAGUCGAGGGGCAGCAUGGACUCAGCUUUGCUGAGUUUGAUGGCGACCGGCGCACGGGUGAGUAACGCGUAUCCAACCUGCCCUUUACUCCGGGAUAGUCUCCUGAAAGGGAGUUUAAUACCGGAUGUGUUUGUUUUUCCGCAUGGGAGCGACAAAUAAAGAUUAAUUGGUAAAGGAUGGGGAUGCGUCCCAUUAGCUUGUUGGCGGGGUAACGGCCCGCCAAGGCAACGAUGGGUAGGGGUUCUGAGAGGAAGGUCCCCCACAUUGGAACUGAGACACGGUCCAAACUCCUACGGGAGGCAGCAGUGAGGAAUAUUGGUCAAUGGGCGAGAGCCUGAACCAGCCAAGUAGCGUGAAGGACGACGGCCCUACGGGUUGUAAACUUCUUUUAUAAGGGAAUAAAGUUCGCCACGUGUGGUGUUUUGUAUGUACCUUAUGAAUAAGCAU